rnacentral:rRNA from 1 species
AACGAACGCUGGCGGCAUGCCUAAUACAUGCAAGUCGAACGAUCACUUCGGUGGUAGUGGCGCACGGGUGCGUAACGCGUGGGAAUCUACCCUUGGGUUCGGAAUAACAGUUAGAAAUGACUGCUAAUACCGGAUGAUGACGAAAGUCCAAAGAUAUAUCGCCCAAGGAUGAGCCCGCGUAGGAUUAGCUUGUUGGUGAGGUAAAAGCUCACCAAGGCGACGAUCCUUUGCUGGUCUGAGAGGAUGAUCAGCCACACUGGGACUGAGACACGGCCCAGACUCCUACGGGAGGCAGCAGUAGGGAAUAUUGGACAAUGGGGGCAACCCUGAUCUAGCAAUGCCGCGUGAGUGAUGAAGGCCUUAGGGUUGUAAAGCUCUUUUACCCGAGAUGAUAAUGACAGUAUCGGGAGAAUAAGCUCCGGCUAGCUCCGUGCCAGCAGCCGCCGCGG